GAUGAACGCUGGCGGCGUGCCUAAUACAUGCAAGUCGAGCGAAUGGAUUAAGAGCUUGCUCUUAUGAAGUUAGCGGCGGACGGGUGAGUAACACGUGGGUAACCUGCCCGUAAGACUGGGAUAACUCCGGGAAACCGGGGCUAAUACCGGAUAACAUUUUGAACCGCAUGGUUCGAAAUUGAAAGGCGGCUUCGGCUGUCACUUAUGGAUGGACCCGCGUCGCAUUAGCUAGUUGGUGAGGUAACGGCCUACCAAGGCAACGAUGCGUAGCCGACCUGAGAGAGUGAUCGGCCAGACUGGGACUGAGAGCCAGCCCAGACUCCUACGGAAGGCAGCAAGAGGGAAUCUGCCGAGAUCGACGAAAGUCUGACGGAGGAACGGCGCGUGAGUGAGGAAGGCUUUCGGGUCGUAAACCUCUGUUGUUAGGGAAGAACAAGUGCUAGUUGAAUAAGCUGGCACCUUGACGGUACCUAACCAGAAAGCCACGGCUAACUACGUGCCAGCAGCCGCCGUAA
rnacentral:rRNA from 1 species